UACGGGAGGCAGCAGUGGGGAAUAUUGCACAAUGGGCGAAAGCCUGAUGCAGCUAUGCCGCGUGUAUGAAGAAGGCCUUAGGGUUGUAAAGUACUUUCAUCGGGGAGGAAAAACAAAACUAAUAAUUUUAUUUCUUGACGUUACCCGAAAAAGAAGCACCGGCUAACUCCGUGCCAGCAGCCGCGGUAAUACGGAGGGUGCUAGCGUUAAUCAGAAUUACUGGGCGUAAAAGAGCACGUAGGUGGUUUUUUUAAGUCAGAUGUGAAAUCCCUGGGCUUAACCUAGGAACUGCAUUUUGAAACUGAAAUACUAGAGUAUCGUAGAGGGAGGUAGAAUUCUAGGUGUAGCGGUGAAAUGCGUAGAUAUCUGGAGGAAUACCUGUGGCGAAAGCGGCCUCCUAAACGAAUACUGACACUGAGGUGCGAAAGCGUGGGGAGCAAACAGGGAUUAGAUACC
rnacentral:rRNA from 1 species